GUGGGGAAUAUUGGACAAUGGGCGAAAGCCUGAUCCAGCAAUGCCGCGUGAGUGAUGAAGGCCUUAGGGUUGUAAAGCUCUUUUACCAGGGAUGAUAAUGACAGUACCUGGAGAAUAAGCUCCGGCUAACUCCGUGCCAGCAGCCGCGGUAAUACGGAGGGAGCUAGCGUUGUUCGGAAUUACUGGGCGUAAAGCGCACGUAGGCGGUUACUCAAGUCAGAGGUGAAAGCCCGGGGCUCAACCCCGGAACUGCCUUUGAAACUAGGUAACUAGAAUCUUGGAGAGGUCAGUGGAAUUCCGAGUGUAGAGGUGAAAUUCGUAGAUAUUCGGAAGAACACCAGUGGCGAAGGCGACUGACUGGACAAGUAUUGACGCUGAGGUGCGAAAGCGUGGGGAGCAAACAGGAUUAGAUACCCUAGUAGUCC
rnacentral:rRNA from 1 species